GGGGACGACAGGCUUCGACGUGGUCGAUCCGUGGGGGCAGUUGCGAGCCGAGGUUCCGGCAGGCCUCGUAAAACCGCCGGAAAACCAUACGUGCGGACUCUCACGAGUACGCCCUCGCCGCUUAGUCGAUAGCUAAGCCGUGAGGUUUCGGCCCCUGUAGCCCGCGACGGGGAUCGCCGGAAUCAGCAAGCGGGCUCACCCGGGAAGGUCCGCUCCCGCCGACCCGGGGAAAUUCAAGGGAGCUGGUCCUCCGCAACCCCGCCGGCGUGGCGAGCGGAGGGCGAGAUCAGAGCGCCGGCUACGCUCGUAGAAGCUGCCCGUCACGCGACCGCGGACGUGGGUUCGAUUCCCACCGUCUCCA
rnacentral:tmRNA from 1 species